GGACAAACCUCUUGCAGAUAUUGGAGGCAAGGGUUUAUUCACCAAGGAAAUAGAUGAUGCGCUCUUGCAGGGAAGGAUUGAUAUCGCUGUUCACUCUAUGAAAGAUGUUCCAACAUAUCUACCUGAAGGCACAAUAUUGCCCUGUAACCUCCCACGAGAAGAUGUCAGAGAUGCAUUCAUAUGCUUGACUGCAAAUUCGCUUGCGGAGCUUCCUGCUGGCAGUGUUGUUGGAAGUGCUUCCCUGCGGAGACAAUCUCAGAUUCUCUACAGAUAUCCAUCACUGAAAGUAAGUAUGAUGGUUUUGCUCACCACGCUUUCCCUCCCCACCCCCUAUACUUGUCAUUUUAUUGCUAUCCGAUUCACUAAUGUGUUCAUAGAUACUUCCCAGUAUUGCGAGUUCGGUGGGUUUUCCCCCAUUGCAUGUAAAGAGAGUGAGCUUUUUGAGCUCAUCCUCUGAAGACUAGAACAUAGAUCUUCUUUCUAUCAGCCGCAGUUCUCAACUCUUUUAUAAACUGUUAAAUAAAUAUUAUAAAUAUGUAUAUUUUGAUUUCUAUGAUUGUGAAGAUGUUGUUUUCUUCUUUUUUUGUGAUGAGUGAAGCUGUUGUUUUCAAUGCCAUUCAUGUGAAAAGAUGCCUAUCCUAGAGGCAGUAUUGCAUUUUUUUGGGUUAUGAAGAGAAUUCUGUCUGGUUGAUGGUUGUAGGCUCAACUCAGUCUUGUACUUCGUUAUUUAGAAGCCUGUGUUUUUUAAUUUAUUUAGAAGUGUGUUUUGAUUAGGCAUUGAUCUUGAUUUGUCUCGUGCUUAACAGUAUCAAAUGGUUUUCAGGUAGUUAACUUCAGAGGAAAUGUUCAGACACGGCUAAGGAAACUGAAGGAAGGAGAUGUCUCUGCUACGUUGUUGGCACUGGCUGGAUUAAGGCGGCUGAAUAUGGCAGAAAAUGCAACAGCUGUACUAUCAGUGGAAGAAAUGCUUCCAGCAGUUGCCCAAGGUGCUAUUGGAAUAGCUUGCCGAAGCAACGAUGACAAAAUGGUAAGGGGUCCGGUGUUGUAGUAUACUGGUAGAUGGAGAAAACAUGAUGCUUGCAUGAUUCCAUCAUACAAAUCUGACUCUAGCUUUGCUAUCUUUGCACACUACUUUGAUUAAGUGAUAAGAAGGGGUGGAUCUAGAAUUAGGAAUCAUUGAUGUCACUAGCAUAGCUAUGAUAGACACGCUGUGUCAUUGUCUCUUGUGCGGUUGUGCCCAUAGUAAUUUUUUAUUCAGUUUACACAAGUCAUUGCUGUCAGGUGACAGAAUUAUUAAUACUGUGGAUCUGCCUCCUGGUGAUAGGGUCUGACCAUUUUAUGGUCCUGAAUAAAUAACCAUUAUAGAUGACCCUGUUUAGGCAGCACAGAUAGGUCUAUUUGUCAUGCCACUCUUUGCAUUUUUUUUAUCAAGUCUGUUUUGUUUGUUGCUUCUUUAUCCUGGCCAUGUUGCAUGUUGUGGAAGCAUUUUAUCUUUGAAAGUUGAAACUGUGUCUUACAGUAGGUCUUUAUAUUUCUAAUUUCUAAGUGCACAUUGUUAUUUUAUUCUGCAAUGUACAUUAAUGUACUAUGCAGCUAUGCAGAGCAUGCCAGACACUUGAUUGAGUUCAUGGCUUUUUUUAACACCAUUUAAUAAAAAAUGAUGAGAUCUCCCAAUCUUUGCCCUUUAUGUAGAUGGAGUAUCUAUCCUCGUUGAACCAUGAAGAUACCAGAUUAGCUGUUGCAUGUGAAAGAGAAUUCUUGGCAGUUCUUGAUGGUAACUGCCGAACUCCGAUUGCAGCCUAUGCUUACCGUGAUAAGGAUGGGAAUUGCUCAUUCCGGGGUCUGUUGGCUUCCCCAGACGGAUCUAAAGGUAUCCAUGGUUUUCGAUUGAAAAGAUCUUAAAAUGAUUUUGUUGUAUUUACCAUUGAAUGACAGCACUCUGUCACUUCUGCAGUAUUUGAGACAACAAGAAGUGGACCAUACUCUUUUGACGACAUGGUUGAGUUGGGCAAAGAUGCUGGUCAUGAGCUGAAGGCAAAGGCUGGGCCUGGCUUCUUUGAUAGCUUGCAAUGAAAAGAAUGAGCGACCAUGUGCAAUUUCAGUUACCACUCUUUUGGUUAGAAACGGAGGGUCUAAGUAGAGUAUUGAGAGGUUUGUUUUUGUUUCUUCUUUCUCCUACUAUAGUUCUGCUAGAGCCUUGUACUACCACUCAUAUUGAGCAGGCCCAUUGAGCUUUGUUGUGUCUCCUGUUCUUCUAGCACUCUGGGUUAGAGCCUUAGAGGUAUCUGCAAAGCACAGCUAUGUUUUGUCGAAGAGGUACCAGCACAGCUACGUUGUACACUUGUAAUGUUGUACUUGGAUGUGACUUUGCUGAUAGUUGUUGUUUCAAGAAUAAUUGAGCUCACGGUAACCAUGGGAGUAAGAUUCAAUGUUCUUAUUCUUCGGAAAAUCAGCCUGACUGAUUGAUUCCCAGAUGACUCUGAUCAAUGUCACAUCCCUCUGUUAGAGGCCCGACAAAACAUCCCUGAUUUUGUGGGGGUAAAGGAGAAUGUUUUGGGUAUGUGUCGAAGAAACCUUGAAGUGCGGUGCUAUAGACAGAUUGAUGAUCUUUUUGAUGGUAUGCUAUAUAAAUGAUGAAAUUUGAUGGUAUAUUAUUCAGUACCGAGCAAAAUUUGAUGGUAUAGAUGAAAUUUCCUGAACUUGACCCCCCUCGCACAUCUCGGCGUCUCCUCCCUCCGUCCCUCGCGCGCACAGUCCUCUAACCCUCUCUAGGCCGCCGGAGAUGGUGUCGCUGCGAUGCGCCACCGCGCGCCACUCCCUCCUCGGCCCGCCGACCUGCCUCGCGCGCCCGCGGCGGCGGGCGUGCCCCGUCGCCGUGGAGGCCGUCUCGCAGGCCAAGGUCCCCCUAAUCCGGAUUGGGACGCGUGGAAGGUGAUCAAAUUCGACCCUUUUCUGCGGGUUCUUUGGGGUUAUGCUCUGCAUUCUGGAAUACGGGUUUUGAGCUGCGCCUCUGAACCUAUCGCGUCUUUUAGGAGGUUGGCACUUGCCAGGCAUUGACGACGCUGGGCGAAUUCACACGAAGUAUUUGAUGAUGUUUAGCUCGAUUUGCAUAUAUGGCUUCAUUUUGUUGCAUAUUUGGAUCAGUAGUAACUGGCCGUUGGCCUUGAUAAAGCUAAAUGAUGGGUCUCUUAUUAAUCGGUUAAUUUGUACUGUUCUUGGGUCAACACUAGAUGCUGUACUGUUCUUGUGUUAUUCUCACACUGGCUAGUGCUUCAUGAGGUGUUUACAAGGGCUUUAGUCUUUGUCUUGGCUUACUGAACUACGAUUUCUCCUCAGAUCUUGUGGAAAUUCUAUGCUCUUUAUUCAUUGUCCUUUGUUGAUUAAAGUUACCCAAGAAAAGUCAUGGUUUACUGUCAACGCAAAUUGCUCUUUGCAGUUUUUCUCUCUUUCUCUCUCUCUCUUUCUCAUUCAAAUUUGUAAUUCUUGUCAUUGGAUAUUUAGGACAGUGAUCUUGCUCUUGCACAAGCCCGUGAAACUCGAGAUAAACUGAAAGCUGCACACUCUGAAUUAGCUGAGGAGGGGGCUGUUGAGAUCAUCAUUAUAAAGACCACAGGAGACAUGAUCUUGGACAAACCCCUUGCAGAUAUUGGUGGCAAGGGUUUAUUCACCAAGGAGAUAGAUGAUGCGAUCUUGCAGGGAAGGAUUGAUAUUGCUGUUCACUCUAUGAAAGAUGUCCCAACAUAUCUACCUGAAGGAACAAUACUACCAUGUAACCUCCCGCGAGAAGAUGCUAGAGACGCAUUUAUAUGUUUGACUGCAAAUUCACUUGCGGAGCUUCCUUCUGGUUGUGUCGUCGGAAGUGCUUCCCUG
rnacentral:lncRNA from 1 species